GGAGUCUGGGCCGUGUCUCAGUCCCAAUGUGGCCGAUCAACCUCUCAGUCCGGCUACCGAUCGUCGGCAUGGUAGGCCGUUACCCCACCAUCUACCUAAUCGGACGCGAGCCCAUCUCUCAGCGAUAAAUCUUUGGUCAAGGUAUCAUGCGGUACUAUGACGUUAUGCGGUAUUAGCAGCCGUUUCCAACUGUUAUUCCACUCUGAGAGGCAGGUUGCUCACGUGUUACUCACCCGUCCGCCACUAAGUCAUAAGGUUCGUCACUCCGAAGAGAUCAGAUCCAAAUGCUUCGUUCGACUUGCAUGUGUUAGGCACGCCGCCAGCGUCGUCCUCGAGCCACUGAUCAAACUACU
rnacentral:rRNA from 1 species